UACGUAGGGUGCAAGCGUUGUCCGGAAUUAUUGGGCGUAAAGAGCUCGUAGGCGGUCUGUCACGUCGGCUGUGAAAACCCGAGGCUCAACCUCGGGCCUGCAGUCGAUACGGGCAGACUAGAGUUCGGUAGGGGAGUCUGGAAUUCCUGGUGUAGCGGUGAAAUGCGCAGAUAUCAGGAGGAACACCGGUGGCGAAGGCGGGUCUCGUGGGCCGAUACUGACGCUGAGGAGCGAAAGCGUGGGGAGCGAACAGG
rnacentral:rRNA from 1 species